CCGACGGUGAGGGAUGAAAGCUGGGGGCACGAACCGGAUUAGAUACCCGGGUAGUCCCAGCCGUAAACGAUGCUCGCUAGGUGUCAGGCAUGGCGCGACCGUGUCUGGUGCCGCAGGGAAGCCGUGAAGCGAGCCACCUGGGAAGUACGGCCGCAAGGCUGAAACUUAAAGGAAUUGGCGGGGGAGCACAACAACGGGUGGAGCCUGCGGUUUAAUUGGACUCAACGCCGGACAACUCACCGGGGGCGACAGCAAUAUGUAGGCCAAGCUGAAGACUUUGCCUGAAUCGCUGAGAGGAGGUGCAUGGCCGUCGCCAGUUCGUACUG
rnacentral:rRNA from 1 species